rnacentral:tmRNA from 1 species
GGGGGCGAAAUGGCUUCGACGGAGAUUUUGAGGCCUAUGGUAGCAUACCGAGUGUUUUGUCAGCUCGUAAAACUGGCAAAGUAUAAACAUAAUCGCAGAUGAUUAUAAUUACGCUGUAGCUGCGUAGAGCAGCUUCCGUCCUGCCUGAAAUCCCUCUUGCAGAUUCAGGAUCAGGGCGUCGACUAUGCAAGACCGCCUGAAAGAUUGUCUGUGCCUUUCAGGUUGAACUUUUCAGACUAUACUGUUUUGUAUCCAUCUCAAAGGAGACAUUACAACAAAUUUAAAUUUUGAGAUAAGUAUGUAGAAGCCUGGGUUGAUCGUUUUCGGACGCGGGUUCAACUCCCGCCGCCUCCACCA